UAUUUUCCUAAAAUCUAUUUCGCAAUAAUUUAAAAUUUCUAGUUGCAGCACACCCUACUGACUGUGUUUGAAUACCUAAGUGAGUGUGUCCGGUGCACUUCACAUUCUGCGGUGCCAUUCGGUUCGGGCGUGCGAAUUUUCGGUUCUAUUUGGUUCGAUUUGAUGCGUGUUCCGCUGCGGUUGGCACUUGAGGCUGUCAUAGAUGUUGGACAUGGGUCCUUCGAAGGGUCAAGGGGUUGGUGGUAAGGGGUUAAGGGCCGACUGUGCGCAGUAACAGUGGUCAGAGUUGUUUGAAAUUUCGGUUUUCAUUAUGGGCUUUGCGGUAAAAGAAUCUCUAACUGAAGAAAAGUCAACAGCAAAAAGUGUGAACUAAAGUUCAAGGAGUUAUUUCAAUGCUUUUGGGAACUGCACCCAGAUUUGGGAGUGAUUUGUAUAGGGUUUUAAUCGAUUUCAAUGCAAGUUUAAUUAGUUCGAGGAGCUGUGCACAUGCAAUUGGCAAUUGCAGCUUCUUCCGAUGGGCGAAUAAAUCAAUCAGUGUCCCUGGCAGGUGAUCAGAUAAAUUACAUUUCUCAAUUAUUGCGGGUAAGCCAAAAUCGAGACAAAGGCCAUAAACCACUUUGGAGUCCGGCUCAUAGUACAAUUGCAAUGAGUGAGCAGAUUUUCCGGCCCAUUUGGUUGCUGUGCGUCAAUGGCGAAUGGCUAACUUAAUUUGCAAAAUAUGCAAAACUUAAUAAUAAAUACGGAAUUUUGCUACGCCGCGCAUUGCAAUCGAUUCGCCACUUAAACCGAUUGCAAUGGAAAUGAAAUACUGCCAAAGGAAGCACAAACAAAACCGAAUUGCGAGUUUCCCAUUUUGGCUCAACGAUUUUUCGUCUUUAUUUCCUUUAUUUUUUGUUUGCAUUUUUUUUUUUUUGUUUUUUUUUUUGUAAACUGUGUUCGAUGACAGGCAAAACGAGGCGAGCGACAAUUAAAAGCGAAAUAAAAACAAAAAUUGAGAGAAAUUGUUAGGCGAUGAUGUCCGAGAUGAUUCCGCACGAUACGUCACAGAACAUUCAGCGUUAUUCGAGUGGAAACUGUGCUUCACCUAAUGAGAGGAGGUAUUCCCCCCACAAAAAAAGGGGACGGUCUGUGGAUUCUUUGGGUUGGAGAUCUUGGGUCUAUAAGUGUGAGUCAUGCUCACGAAAUUCGUGAUCUGGAAACCCGGUUUCGGUCAUUGCAAAGGAAUGUGGCAUCGAGAAUUUUACCUAAGUUUUAAACUUUGUUCAAUAGUCAAACCCAUUUACUUCUAGUCACGUUCCCAUCACUAAUCGGAAGGACUCAAGCAACCAAACGACUGAAAGAAAACAAAUUUUAUGCGACCACGCGCCAUUUGAUUUCCCUCAAAAAAAGGGGGCGAAAACCAACAGAGUAAAGCAAAGUGGAAAUUCAAAUGGAAAUACUUGAAGCAGUUGCAUCGACCAGUUUAUCAAAAAGAUGCUCCCGAAAGAUUUCGCCCCCUCGAGUUAUGCAUUUCUUUCUAAUGAACUCUGGGCCUUUCAGCGCUUUCUUCAUCUUCAUCUGCAUUUCUUUUUUUUUUUUUUUGGCUCUUCUGAGCAAUAAAAAUCGUAAUGAAGCGGGCAACAUAAAACAGAACGCCAGAAUGGAAA